AACGAACGCUGGCGGCAUGCCUAACACAUGCAAGUCGAACGAUGCCUUCGGGCAUAGUGGCGCACGGGGGCGGAACGCGUGGGAAGCUGCCUUUCGGGUCGGAAUAACUCAGGGAAACGUGAGCUAAUACCGGAUAACGUCGCAAGACCCAAGAUUUAUCACCGAAAGAUGAGCCCGCGUAGGAUUCGCUAGUUGGGUAGGUAAAGGCUCCCCAAGGCGACGAUCCUUAGCUGGCCUGAGAGGAUGAUCAGCCACACUGGGACUGAGACCCGGCCCAGACUCCUCCGGGAGGCAGCAGUGCCGAAUGUUGGACCAUGGGCGGAGGCAUGAUCCAGCACUGCCGGUUGAGUGCUGUAGGCCUUAGGGUUGUAAAGCUCUUUUACCCGGGAAGAUAAUGACGGUACCGGGACAAUAAGCCCCGGCUAACUCCGUG
rnacentral:rRNA from 1 species